rnacentral:rRNA from 1 species
AACCGCGGUUAAACGAGGGGCCCAAGUUGAUAGUCCUACGGCGUAAAGGGUGGUUAGGAGAAAAUCUUUAAACUAAAGCCGAAUGCCCUCAGAGCUGUAAUACGCUUAUGACGGUACGAAGAUCAACUACGAAAGUGGCUUUAACAACAUCUGACUCCACGAAAGCUGAGAAA